UACGUAGGGGCAAGGCGUUGUCCGGAAUCAAUUUGGGCGGUAAAGCGGCGUGUAGGCGGCUCGAUAAGUCUGCUGUAGAAAGUUCGAGGGCUCAACCCUGAAAUGCCGGUGGAAACUGUCGAGCUAGAGUCCCGGAAGAGGCGAGUGGAAUUCCGUGGUGUAGCGGUGAAAAUUGCGCAGAUAUCAAGGAGGAACACCAAUGGCGAAGGCAGCUCGCUGGGAACGGUACUGACGCUGAGACGCGAAAGCGUGGGGAGCAAAACAGGAUUGAGA
rnacentral:rRNA from 1 species